UACGAAGGGGGCUAGCGUUGUUCGGAAUCACUGGGCGUAAAGCGCACGUAGGCGGAUUGGUAAGUCAGGGGUGAAAUCCUGGAGCUCAACUCCAGAACUGCCUUUGAUACUGGCGAUCUUGAGUCCGGGAGAGGUGAGUGGAACUGCGAGUGUAGAGGUGAAAUUCGUAGAUAUUCGCAAGAACACCAGUGGCGAAGGCGGCUCACUGGCCCGGUACUGACGCUGAGGUGCGAAAGCGUGGGGAGCAAACAGG
rnacentral:rRNA from 1 species